rnacentral:rRNA from 1 species
UUGAAACACCAGUUCUCAUAUAAUCACUGAAGUUAAGCAACAUCAAGCCUGGUCAGUAACUAGAUGGGUGACCACUUGGGAAUACCAGGUGCUGUAAG